ensembl:rRNA 5S_rRNA 5S ribosomal RNA
GUCUAUGGCCAUACCACCCUGAAAGCACCUGAUCUUGUCUGAUCUCGGAAACUAAGCUAGGACUGGGCCUGAUUAGUACUUGGAUGGGAGACUGCCUAGCAAUACCAGGCGCUGUAGGCU